rnacentral:rRNA from 1 species
CCUACGGGCGGCAGCAGUGAGGAAUAUUGGUCAAUGGACGAGAGUCUGAACCAGCCAAGUAGCGUGAAGGAUGACUGCCCCAUGGGUUGUAAACUUCUUUUAUAUGGGAAUAAAACGUUCCACGUGUGGGAUUUUGUAUGUACCAUAUGAAUAAGGAUCGGCUAACUCCGUGCCAGCAGCCGCGGUAAUACGGAGGAUCCGAGCGUUAUCCGGAUUUAUUGGGUUUAAAGGGAGCGUAGGUGGAUUGUUAAGUCAGUUGUGAAAGUUUGCGGCUCAACCGUAAAAUUGCAGUUGAAACUGGCAGUCUUGAGUACAGUAGAGGUGUGCGGAAUUCGUGGUGUAGCGGUGAAAUGCUUAGAUAUCACGAAGAACUCCGAUUGCGAAGGCAGUUCACUGGACUGCAACUGACACUGAGGCUCGAAAGUGUGGGUAUCAAACAGGAUUAGAUACCCUUGUAGUC